GAAUUGGAACGGGAACGGGAAGAAGAUGCCGCUGCUAUUUACGGGCUUCAACGCAUUUGGCCAGCAUGAAUGUGUAAGCGGCGACGUCGACUGCGCAGCCGGCUUCAGCGAAUUAAAUGCGCCAGUUGCGACUCAGAACCAGUGCACGAUUUCGAUCGGCUGGCGGUAUGCGGCCCUCGCUUUUGGCCGGAAGUUGUGUCUGCGUGGCCUCUUGGCUGAUGGCCCAAAUGAGUGCGUGACCCUGGAGGCAGCGGGGGACAUAAGGGCCCUGGCUGCCGGCGAUUCCCACUGCCUGGUGCUACUCCAAAGCGGUCAGCUUUACAGGGUGCAGCCCAAACUGCAGGCGGAACUGGUGGCUGUUAGACUAGAAGCUCCGCCCAGAUCCAAUUCGGGUACAAAGCGCUCUAUCUUUGGGACUGCCAAGGCGCCCUCGUCGCCGAUCAUUGAGCAUAUUGCGUGUGGAUCGCACAUAAACGUAGCGAUCAGCUCGGAAAACUGCAUCUACAGCAUUCCCAGCUGCCUGCAUCAGUUUCCCGAGCGCCAGUUUCGGGUGAAGCAGCUCGAAUGUGGCCACGAACAUGCCGUGCUCCUCAAUGUCAACGGUGAUGUGUUCACCUGGGGAAAUGGACUCCGCGGACAGUUGGGUCUCGCGGAGUUGAGAGUGGAGGAGACGCCGCAGUUACUGGAGGCGCUGGCGGGGAUCAAGAUAACUCAAAUUGCUGCCGGUGGCUGGCACAGUGCAGCCAUAUCCGCCUUCGGAGACCUCUACACCUGGGGAGUCAACAGCAGCGGUCAGCUGGGAAUGCGUGUAAUGAAAGCCGGUGGCGUCCUCAAAGAGCCCACUGUAUAUCCGCUGCCCCAGUUGCAAGACCUGACCGAAUGUGCGUGCCUCCAAGGCGGGGAGAGCAACGAUGAUUGUGCACCGCUGAGGGUGUUCGCUGGAUCUCGUCACACUCUGCUGAUCCGCCGGUGCGGGCGGCUAUGGGUCAGUGGUUGGUGCAAGCACGGUCAACUUGGCAGGCAGCUCCAAAACCUGUCUUAUGUGGAUGCCUUUCAGGCCCUGGAGGGUAUCACGAUGAAUCCGACUGCUGAUGAUGUUCUCUGCGGGCCCUGGUCAACGCUGCUCCAUUUGAGGGCAUCGUUGGAUUGAAAACAUAUAGCUAUUAAGCUGGCUUUACUUUUGUACAAGCUACCAAGUUGAAAUCAGCUUGGACACAAACCAAUUUACAUGUCAAUUACAGUGCAUACUUUUUGUCGCAUAGGGUCAUGUAAAAUGUAUUAUAUCAUUUUACUUGUCUCUUAUCUACUUUGUAAAUAGGAAAUUUGUUGUAUAAUACGUACUUAAACUUCUUUAGUUUAUUGCACACAUAGGUAUGCAAGUAGGCCUUGGAAUAAGUGUUUCCUCCACUUUUUAGUAGUACAACUAAAUUACCCAAGACAGGCUGGAUGUGCGGAUUGUCCUUGAGCAUGGCUCCCAGUAUAUUUUUCGUAUUAAUCUGGCGCCUGACCGUGCAAAUGAUGUAUCCAUACGGAUACAUGGGCUGUUCGCUGCAGGAUGCGUUGGAUAAUGACAGUCUGGUAUGGAACAAGGGCGAUCGCAUGGAGAACCAGAUGAUGAUGCUGAUAAGGGACUCCAUUUGCACCACACUCCUGCUCGUGCUGAUGAUGGAGGUGAUGCAGACGAUGAAUGCAGCCGUGAAUAUUCCAAUUCCGAUCAUGGCCGCCAGACUUUAGUCUUCGUUCUAUGAACUCUGUCCCUGCUUUAUGGCUAUAGAAGCUGCACUCCGUUUAUUGCCCCAUCAAAACAACAGUGCUCAAAUAAUUUCGUCUUGGGGUAGGACCGCCAUUGUGCCAACGUUCGUCGACUUUGUCGUUGUCGUCGCUGCCCAUUUAAUCAGUACAUUUUAUUUUUAAAAAUGUUAUUAAACAAUAUUUGCCUUAGCAAAAGUCCGACGUUCGCAGUGCAAUAAACUUUUCAGCACUUGA
rnacentral:misc_RNA from 1 species